UAAGUAGGGCAGAUAAUCGCGGCUGCAAGUGUCGAAAGACCGCAGGUGAGGAAAGUCCGGGCUUCAUAGGGCAGGAUGCCGGUUAACGGCCGGUGGAGGUGACUCCAAGGACAGUGCAACAGAAAUAUACCGCUAGCAAUAGUAAGGGUGGAAGGGCAGUGUAAGAGACUACCGCCUGUCUGGUAACAGACGGGGCACAUGUAAACCCCAUCCGAAGCAAGACCGAAUAAAAGCGUUGACGUGGCCCGCUAGCUUUAGGUAGGUCGCUUGAGAUAACUGGUAACAGUUAUACUAGAUAGAUGAUUAUCCACGACAUAACCCGGCUUACAGCCUUGCUUAUUUA
rnacentral:RNase_P_RNA from 2 species